CUUGUUGUAGUAUCAUAAGGAAGAAUAAAUUGUCAGUUUCUUUUUCUUGUGUGAUGGUUUUGAUUGCUGGAGUCUUUUUUAGUAGUUCAUGCUAUUGUGGAUUUUAUUCAUGCACUGCAGCAAUAACAUUUAGAAUAUUUUUUUUGCUUGAAAUUGGUCUGUUAUUAUAAGCACUAUGAAUUGCUUUUGUAUAUAUUCUCACUGCCUUUACUUCUCACAUUUGCCACUGUUAAUAGAAUGUUGUGGACGUCCAUGAUAGUUUAGCUGCUGAAGUUGAACAUGGUGAUGCUUCCAGAAAGGAAAGGUCCUCAGUUCAAGGUGUAGAACAGUAACUAGAAUGACAGGUGAACUUCAUUGGAUUCAAUAGUCAUUACGUUAUGAGGAUGAUGAAGAAUGUACUUAUCAAUGCCCCUCAUAUCAAGAAUUUCUUGUCGAAACAGUUCACCUCCGACAAACCAUAUACUACUCAAGAAAUUGACCAAGUUAGAGAAGAAUGGGCAAUGUCAUAUUUACAAUUGGUUAGAGCAAAAUGAAUGAUAUUAUAGCUAGCUAAUUACAAUACAUGUUUAGAAAUUUUAAAUUUAUUUCGUAAAAUUUUUUUGCCAUUUUUUUAGUAUUUUUUUUUCAAAAUUCUUUUGAUACAUAUUCGACAAUCAAAUGGAUAUAUAUUUUU